GACGAAUGCUGGCGGCGUGCUUAACACAUGCAAGUCGAACGGAAAGGCCCUGCUUUUGUGGGGUGCUCGAGUGGCGAACGGGUGAGUAACACGUGAGUAACCUGCCCUUGACUUUGGGAUAACUUCAGGAAACUGGGGCUAAUACCGGAUAGGAGCUCCUGCUGCAUGGUGGUGGUUGGAAAGUUUCGGCGGUUGGGGAUGGACUCGCGGCUUAUCAGCUUGUUGGUGGGGUAGUGGCUUACCAAGGCUUUGACGGGUAGCCGGCCUGGGAGGGUGACCGGACACAUUGGGACUGCGAUACGGCCCAGACUCCUACGGGAGGCAGCAGUGGGGAAUAUUGCACAAUGGGCGGAAGCCUGAUGCAGCAACGCCGCGUGCGGGAUGACGGCCUUCGGGUUGUAAACCGCUUUCGCCUGUGACGAAGCGUGAGUGACGGUAAUGGGUAAAGAAGCACCGGCUAACUACGUG
rnacentral:rRNA from 1 species